rfam:Fistulifera solaris DNA, contig: scaffold00164, strain: JPCC DA0580.
GCCUGUGUAGCUCAGUAGGUAGAGCGCCCGGCUUUUAACCGUGUGGUCGUGGGUUCGAGCCCCACCAUAGGUG